rnacentral:sRNA from 1 species
GAGUCCGAGCCGCCGCCGCCGCCAUGAGCUGCCCCGUCCCCGCCUGCUGCGCGCUGCUGCUAGUCCUGGGGCUCUGCCGGGCGCGUCCCCGGAACGCACUGCUGCUCCUCGCGGAUGACGGAGGCUUUGAGAGUGGCGCGUACAACAACAGCGCCGUCGCCACCCCGCACCUGGACGCCCUGGCCCGCCGCAGCCUCCUCUUCCGCAAUGCCUUCACCUCGGUCAGCAGCUGCUCUCCCAGCCGUGCCAGCCUCCUCACUGGCCUGCCCCAGCAUCAGAAUGGGAUGUACGGGCUGCACCAGGACGUGCACCACUUCAACUCCUUCGACAAGGUGCGGAGCCUGCCGCUGCUGCUCAGCCAAGCUGGUGUGCGCACAGGCAUCAUCGGGAAGAAGCAUGUGGGGCCGGAGACCGUGUACCCGUUUGACUUUGCGUACACGGAGGAGAACGGCUCCAUCCUCCAGGUGGGGCGGAACAUCACUAGAAUUAAGCUGCUCGUCCGGAAAUUCCUGCAGACUCAGGAUGACCGGUAUGAGUUGGGGCCCCUGCCCCUUCCCCUUGGCGGCCGGUCCCA